CUCUCAUCAACCUAGAAGACAAAUCAAACAGCAAAAUCAGAGCUAUUACCAGAACAAAAUAUGGAGAUACUGAAGCCCAGAAAAUACCACUGAAAAAUAGAACAAGCAUGGACUUCAUGGAAGAGAGAUCUGAGUUCAGAUUUGGGAGCCACUAGCUCUACUUGAACCAUUCCGGUCCACCAUUUUUGAACAAGCAAUGAAUGAAGAAGAACUGAGCAAGCUCAGGAGUGUGUCCAUAUCUGCAUGUGAGGAUGAAUCUUUCUAGUAUGAAUAUGUAUGAGUCACCCCUCCUUGUUUCUUUGUUCAGGGAGACUUUGUUUUGGG